CCUACGGGGGGCAGCAGUGAGGAAUAUUGCACAAUGGGCGCAAGCCUGAUGCAGCGACACCGCGUGAGCGAUGAAGGCCUUCGGGUCGUAAAGCUCUGUCCUAAGGGAAGAAUAAUGACGGUACCUUAGGAGGAAGCCCCGGCUAACUACGUGCCAGCAGCCGCGGUAAUACGUAGGGGGCGAGCGUUAUCCGGAAUCACUGGGCGUAAAGGGUGCGUAGGCGGCCCUGCAAGUCAGGAGUUAAAUCCCUCGGCUCAACCGAGGUCAGCACUUGAAACUGUAGGGCUUGAGUGCAGGAGAGGAGAGGGGAGUUCCUAGUGUAGCGGGUAAAUGCGUAGAUAUUAGGCGGAACUCCAGUGGUCAAGGCGGCACUCUGGAAUGCAACUGACGCUGAGGCACGAAAGAGUGGGGAGCGAACAGGAUUAGAUAACCUUGUCGUC
rnacentral:rRNA from 1 species